rnacentral:sRNA from 1 species
UUACAAGCUCUGAUGUAACUAAAUCCCAAUUUAAUCUCAAUCAAGGAGCAUCCCAUUGAU